UAAAUUGAAGAUCCUAGGAUAUAAGACAUU
rnacentral:piRNA from 1 species